rnacentral:rRNA from 1 species
UACGUAGGGUGCGAGCGUUAAUCGGAAUUACUGGGCGUAAAGCGUGCGUAGACGGUUAUGUAAGUCAGAUGUGAAAGCCCCGGGCUCAACCUGGGAAUUGCAUUUGAGACUGCAUAGCUAGGGUGCGGAAGAGGGAAGCGGAAUUUCCGGUGUAGCGGUGAAAUGCGUAGAUAUCGGAAGGAACACCAGUGGCGAAAGCGGCUUCCUGGUCCAGCACCGACGUUCAGGCACGAAAGCGUGGGGAGCAAACAGG